AAUAGAUACCCCGGUAGUCCACGCCGUAAACGAUGAGUGCUAAGUGUUAGGGGGUUUCCGCCCCUUAGUGCUGCAGCUAACGCAUUAAGCACUCCGCCUGGGGAGUACGGCCGCAAGGCUGAAACUCAAAGGAAUUGACGGGGGCCCGCACAAGCGGUGGAGCAUGUGGUUUAAUUCGAAGCAACGCGAAGAACCUUACCAGGUCUUGACAUCUCCUGACCGCCCUGGAGACAGGGUCUUCCCUUCGGGGACAGGAUGACAGGUGGUGCAUGGUUGUCGUCAGCUCGUGUCGUGAGAUGUUGGGUUAAGUCCCGCAACGAGCGCAACCCUUGUCCUUAGUUGCCAGCAUUCAGUUGGGCACUCUAAGGAGACUGCCGGCUAAAAGUCGGAGGAAGGUGGGGAUGACGUCAAAUCAUCAUGCCCCUUAUGACCUGGGCUACACACGUGCUACAGUGGGCGGUACAGAGGGUCGCGAACCCGCGAGGGGGAGGCAAUCCCAAAAAACCGCUCUCAGUUCGGAUUGCAGGCUGCAACUCG
rnacentral:rRNA from 1 species